UUUUUUUACUUGUUGUUGUGAUACUUAUUGUGGAAAUUGUUGUCUCAUUAGAUCAUCCGAAGUGCGAAGCUUGUUAUCUAGAGGCGCUCGAGUUCGAAAGUCAUCAACAAGGCAAGUCACAUUGAUCAUGUUUUACCUAUGGUUUAUAUGCAUUUAGUUCAACCUUCUCCACCCAUUGCAUGCAAAGUAGGUACUUGGAAAUUUGGUUCGUGAUGUAGUAUCAUGUGGUAGGCACCCAUCACCCCUUGUUACUUGGCCCGGGACGUUACUUUUAUUUUGUUAUGCUUUGAGUGG
rnacentral:lncRNA from 1 species